CCGAAUGGGGAAACCCAGUGUGACUCGUCACACUAUCAUUAACUGAAUCCAUAGGUUAAUGAGGCGAACCGGGGGAACUGAAACAUCUAAGUACCCCGAGGAAAAGAAAUCAACCGAGAUUCCCCCAGUAGCGGCGAGCGAACGGGGAGGAGCCCAGAGCCUGAAUCAGCAUGUGUGUUAGUGGAAGCGUCUGGAAAGGCGCGCGAUACAGGGUGACA
rnacentral:rRNA from 1 species